rnacentral:rRNA from 1 species
GACGAACGCUGGCGGCGUGCCUAAUACAUGCAAGUCGAACGCUGAAGGAGGAGCUUGCUCUUCUGGAUGAGUUGCGAACGGGUGAGUAACGCGUAGGUAACCUGCCUGGUAGCGGGGGAUAACUAUUGGAAACGAUAGCUAAUACCGCAUAACAGUAGAUGCUGCAUGACAUUUGCUUAAAAGGUGCAAUUGCAUCACUACCAGAUGGACCUGCGUUGUAUUAGCUAGUUGGUGGGGUAACGGCUCACCAAGGCGACGAUACAUAGCCGACCUGAGAGGGUGAUCGGCCACACUGGGACUGAGACACGGCCCAGACUCCUACGGGAGGCAGCAGUAGGGAAUCUUCGGCAAUGGACGGAAGUCUGACCGAGCAACGCCGCGUGAGUGAAGAAGGUUUUCGGAUCGUAAAGCUCUGUUGUAAGAGAAGAACGAGUGUGAGAGUGGAAAGUUCACACUGUGACGGUAUCUUACCAGAAAGGGACGGCUAACUACGUG